GAUGAACGCUGGCGGCGUGCCUAAUACAUGCAAGUCGAGCGAACGGACGAGAAGCUUGCUUCUCUGAUGUUAGCGGCGGACGGGCGAGUAACACGUGGAUAACCUACCUAUAAGACUGGGAUAACUUCGGGAAACCGGAGCUAAUACCGGAUAAUAUUUUGAACCGCAUGGUUCAAAAGUGGAAGACGGUCUUGCUGUCACUUAUAGAUGGAUCCGCGCUGCAUUAGCUAGUUGGUAAGGUAACGGCUUACCAAGGCAACGAUGCAUAGCCGACCUGAGAGGGUGAUCGGCCACACUGGAACUGAGACACGGUCCAGACUCCUACGGGAGGCAGCAGUAGGGAAUCUUCCGCAAUGGGCGAAAGCCUGACGGAGCAACGCCGCGUGAGUGAUGAAGGUCUUCGGAUCGUAAAACUCUGUUAUUAGGGAAGAACAUAUGUGUAAGUAACUGUGCACAUCUUGACGGUACCUAAUCAGAAAGCCACGGCUAACUACGUG
rnacentral:rRNA from 1 species